AAAAAGCAAUGAAAUAAACUUAAAUAACAUAAAUAAAAAGAAAAGGAGAUAGAAUGAUCAUACAAAAUAUUUAUUUUGGUUCGGCCAAAAUCACUUAACAUAUUCUAGUUGCUAAGAGUUUCUCCUUGAAAUUUCCACUGAAAUAAAUUAUAGUUCUUAAACAAGAUUAAUCUAACCAUCCUUACAAAACACUUGAACUUUUGUACAAGUUCAACACAAAAACAUCCCACGAACAUUCUA
rnacentral:lncRNA from 1 species